AAGUCGUAACAAGGUUUCCGUAGGUGAACCUGCGGAAGGAUCAUUAUGAAGGGUUAAGGUUUAUGUUAGAUUGUGAAAUGGUGUGUGCUGCCUGCAAGGGUUAUGAUUGAUUGAUUACUGGGGUGAUUGAUUGAUUUACCAGAGGGGGGGGGGGCACACACAAAAUAACAAGAACGAUUAUGGGAUGGAUAAAAAAAAAAAGGUGGUUUUAUUUAUUAUUACUACCACACACAAUAACAAAAAUAACAACUUUUAACAAUGGAUCUCUAGGCUCUU
rnacentral:misc_RNA from 1 species